GUCAGAGCUUAUGAGACAAGAAUGGAUUGUGUGAGAGCUGUAAUUGUUGGGGCGGAGGGUACUCCUUACCAUGAUGGUCUCUUCUUCUUUGAUGUUUGCUUCCCCAGUGGCUAUCCCAAUGUACCACCAGAAAAGGUGAUUUUUGUUUUCUGGAACCGUUUGGAGAGCGCACGGCUUGAGGAUCUCUGACCCAAGGUAAAAGAUGCACUACGUUGCAGACUAUUAUUCUCUUUUGGCUAUAACAAGAAACUUGAUUGUAUUUGUUUUGGGAUCUAUAAAAGGAUAUUACAUGGAACAUAUCUGGGCUGUUGAUACCAUACUUGGAUUCUAAACUCUCCAAAGCUGCCUUCAUCUGGUGAAAAAUAGGAUGGUUUUAUUUUUUUGUGAGACUUAAGAGGUUACCUUCUGCAAACGCAUAAAUGGACUUUUGAAGAAGGCUUGUGACCUCUCUACCCUCUACGAUGCUGAAGUUGCCCUCAUGAUCAUCUUCUCUCCCUCUGGCAUGGCGUGCCGAUUUACAGGCAAAAGAAGUGGAAUUGAAAAGCAGAAUGCUUUAGAGAAAGCACCCAAGCUUCAGGUAAUAAUGGAACUCAUGAUUUGAAUGGGUUUGAGGGUUAGUUUCUAGGAAUGUUCCAUUGGUGUUCUUUUUCUUCUACACAGUACCAAAAUCUCAAGUCCCCAUUUGAUCCUCGACUACGACCCAAUCAUAUUUGCUGUAAUACAAUCAUAUUCUUGAGGUUAAAGUUUUUACUCAACCUCAUUACUUGCAAAAUUUUGUUCAGUCAACAUUCAAUACCCUGCCAUCAGAUCAAGUUAAAGGUACGAAUUACUAAAUCAUACUAUUUUCGUCACUUUUUAUUCCUUGCUGAACACAAUGGAGUGAAUUGUCUUCAUUUGCAUUCUUGCAUUUGAACUUAAGUAUGUUCUUACCUGACAUUUAUAAGCUUUUGGUUAGUCAUCAAAUAUGAUACAUUUUCUCCGUGUUUACAAACUUAUGACAUGCAAUCGGUUUCUUUUUGGUUGGGUUGAAAUGAUAUUGAUUGUGCUGUUAUAAAGCUUCUUUUUAUAGUUAGGUUGUUAAUAGAUUCUUUUUUUUGGUUGGUCUGAUAUGUAAUAGAUGAGAUUGUUUUGUUUGAAUCAAAAUUUGAUCUUUUUUGUGUGAAAUUAUAAUGGAAUCGCAAAGUUUUCAGGUAUCUCUUUUUUGUGUGAAAUAUGUGUGGAUUGCAUCUUGCUUUUGUUUCUUCUUCUGUCUUAUGCUGCAUCUUUUUUACUUUGAACAUUAGUGCUUGAAAACUUAGCUGCUGAAACAAGAACGAAACACUUUUUAUGUUUUUUUUAGGUGGCCUGUAGGACAUAUAUUUUACCAUCUUAACUUCAAGGGCAAUAUAUGUGUAAAAUGCAUGUUGCUUCUGUUUCUCAGGGCAACAGAGCAUUUUUUGCAACCACAUCUUUUGUAAUCAACUUAGUUGAAUGUGUAUAAAAGUCAAGCUGCUUAUCUUACCGACACCGUUCACUCAUCUAUUCCUUUUGUUCGUUCAUGAUUAUGUUGAAUUUUUUUUCAAGUUAAAUGUGUCUUAUCAUGUAGUUAAGAAUGAUGCAUUCAAGUCCCGCAGAAAUGUGCGAGCAUAUUUACUAGUCAUUUCUAAGCCAUUAGGAACAUCAAAAGUUUUCCAACUUGUUGGCAUUGCCUUGUAACUCCAUUACUUGUGACAGAGAUCUUGGAUUCAUUUCACAAGAUUGUAGAAAAAUUAGACAUCGACGAAUUUUAUGAAACUUAGGACUUU